UAUCUCUGUAGAGUCUGCAUAUCAAUAAGCGGAGGAAAAGAAACUAACAAGGAUUCCCUUAGUAACGGCGAGUGAAGCGGGAAGAGCUCAAAUUUGAAAUCUUCAAGGUUCUACCUUGACGAAUUGUAGUUUAAAGAAGUGUUUUCUGUUAGAUGAGUAGCAAAAGUUCCUUGGAAUGGGACAUCAUAGAGGGUGAGAAUCCCGUAUUUGGUUAUUCAUUCUAGCUUUGUGAUACACUUUCAAAGAGUCGGAUUGUUUGGGAAUGCAGUCCAAAAUGGGUGGUAAAUUUCAUCUAAAGCUAAAUAUUGGCGAGAGACCGAUAGCGAACAAGUACCGUGAGGGAAAGAUGAAAAGAACUUUGAAAAGAGAGUUAAACAGUACGUGAAAUUGUCAAAAGGGAAGCGUUUGACACCAGUGUUGUUUUUCCGAAAAUCAAUUACGAAUGGCUUGAUUUUGUGUUGUAUUGACCUUAUCAGCUUUCUGCACUUUUUUCGAGUUUUUCUUAAUGCACUUUUUGGUUAACAAGUCAACAUCAAUUUCUUUUGUUGUAAAAGAGUAUUCGGAAGGUGGCUUUCUUUUCGGAGAAAGUGUUUAUAGCCCUAUACUUCUACAAUCGGAGAGAUUGAGGUCUGCAGCGUAGAUCCUUCGGGGUUAGAUACAUUUGCGCUAAGUUGUAGCUUUUCAUAGACAACUUGUUGACUAUGUUUAGUCAUGCGGCUUACUCGCUUGUGCUAUUUUACCUACGCUUAGGAUGUUGACUGAUAUGUAGUCGUA
rnacentral:rRNA from 1 species